UACGUAGGCAGCGAGCGUUGUUCGGAAUUACUGGGCGUAAAGGGCUCGUAGGCGGCCAACUAAGUCCGACGUGAAAUCCCAAGGCUUAACCUUGGAACUGCGUCGGAUACUGGAUGGCUUGAAUUCGGGAGAGGGAUGCAGAAUUCCAGGUGUAGCGGUGAAAUGCGUAGAUAUCUGGAGGAAUACCGGUGGCGAAGGCGGCAUCCUGGACCGACAUUGACGCUGAGGAGCGAAAGCUAGGGGAGCAAACGGG
rnacentral:rRNA from 1 species